AAACUGAGAAUAGUAGUGAAAAUACUGAUUUACAAUCUUUGGCCGGGAAAAUAUAUAGCCGGUUACACAAGUUUAUCGGAAAAUAUGAAUUAGGUGUGGAAACAAAACUUAUUGAAAUUGAUAGAACAUCCCGAAAUUGGCUGAGUUUUAUCUCAAGAGGAAAUCUUCUAGGUGCCAAUGAAAACAUGUUGCAAGCUACUAAAGUAUUGGAAUCUGAAGUUAAUGUUAUGCAUGGAACGUAAUUAGCUGGGUAAAGCUUUACGAUACGAUCUGCUGUGGCACGCGCAUAUGUCUGUACGCACGGUAGACGCAGCCAAAAAUUGCAUACUGGUCAGCCAUGUUGCCGAACUUGGCCACUUGGACUGGCUUUGUUGCCACUAAAGUAGAAAAUUUCAAUGAAAACAAAAAAGUUGAAAACUUAGCAGAAUUACGUCCAUACGUAGUAGACGAAACUGAUAAGCUCAUACAUAUGAUUGUGCUCGUAAUUUAGCCGGGGCCCAGCUGAUUGAAGCCAGCCGUUUGAAAUAUCAAAUUAAUUGUGUAUGCAUGCAAAGAAAAUAAAAUUAUUUUCAGUA